UACGUAGGUGGCAAGCGUUGUCCGGAAUUAUUGGGCGUAAAGGGCUCGUAGGCGGUUCGUCACGUCGGGAGUGAAAACUCGGAGCUCAACUCCGAGCCUGCUUCCGAUACGGGCAGACUAGAGGUAGGCAGGGGAGAGCGGAACUCCUGGUGUAGCGGUGGAAUGCGCAGAUAUCAGGAAGAACACCGGUGGCGAAGGCGGCUCUCUGGGCCUUACCUGACGCUGAGGAGCGAAAGCGUGGGUAGCGAACAGG
rnacentral:rRNA from 1 species